rnacentral:lncRNA from 1 species
GCUCUAAAAAUGGAUCAAAUGGCCCUUCCUCUAGCAUCAAUUUAUUGGUGCGAGAAAUCACCUAGCAUCAGGGUACUGAAGCUAAUGACAAGGUGGGCCUCUUGGGCACGCGACCUGUAAAGAAAUUUCUAACCAGAGGUGGCUCCUGUGAGGACCCUCUAACGCUCAAGUCAAAAUCUCGUUCAACAAAAAGAAGUGCAUGAGAGGCAGAGUGGU